UUGUGAGAAUUAUUUCAUGAUGUAUGUAAGUCAAAACAUUAUGCUGUAUACCUUGAACUUCUACAGUGCUGUAUGUCAAUUAUAUUUCAAUACAACUGGAAGAAAAAAAAAGAAAUAUUUGCCACAAUAAGAAGUACUGAAAGCUGGAAUAAAUUAUGAUGCUAUUUAUUCCAAAACAAGGAAAUGGAAAACUACAACAGUCCCAUCCAGGCAGGAUUAGUCAUGGCCUCCAGCCUUUAGGAGCAAAGGUUUGUGUCACCUACCAGGUAAAGAUAACCAGCUGAGGUGCUUGUUGAAGGCAAAAAGAAUACAGAGUGGGUAGUAAUAGAAGGUGGUUAUAAAUAUCAGCUACAACCACGUGACCAAUCAGAAAUGAAGACUAUAAUGGCCAUGAGUAUUAACUCAUCAUUAAGGAGUAUUAAUAAGCAGCAUUUCUUCCUAUUGUUUUAUUAUGAAUACAUUUGAGGUUUCAACUGUAUGGGUUCAAGGUCAACUGUAUAUCUUUGUUUUCUUUCCUUUCUUAAUCCCUCAUCACAUAACACAAAUGUAUUGACUUUAUAUUAUGGUCAAUCUUUAUUGAUUAUAUCUGAAUAUUAACUUAAUAGGAUUUAAAUUAUAGCAUUUCAAGGAGAAAAGUAAACAUCAGUCAAGUACUUUACUUUCUCUUCUGGGAAAGGGGUUUGUACAUUUUUGGUUGUAUGCAGAAUAGUUGAAUCAUGUUAGGCAGAAUUAUGACCUUGUCAUUGUCUUUCUUUUGAGGUUAAGUAUGGUUUAAGGAGAUGGGUAUGGGUGCCAAGUUGAUAAGAGUUGGACUUGGUUAAUUUUGUGUCUGCUUGACUGGGUCAUACGGUGCCCAGGGAUUUAGCUGACGUUUUUCUGGAUGUGUCUGUGAGAAUGAGAUUAGCACUUGAACUGGUGGGUUCAAUACAGCAGACUGCCCUCAGUGUGGGUGGGUGUCAUCCCAUCCACUGAAGGUUUGGAUAAUAUGAAAGGCAGGAGAAGGGGGAAUUCACCCUUUUUGCCUGACCACUGGAGCUGAACAUUGGUCUUCUACCCUCAGACAGACUGACACCUUCAGUUCUCCUGGAAUUCAGGUCUUUGGACUUAGACUGAAUUACACCACCAGCUUUCAUGGGUCUCCAGCCUGUAGACAGCAGACUGUGGGACUUCUCAGCCUCCAUAAUCAAGAGACAAGAGUGGCCAAGAUGGUGGAGUAGGAAGACCUUGAGUUCACCUCCCAUGGGCACACCAAAAUUACAACUAUUUACAGAGCAACUAUUGAUGAGAAAGACGUGAAGACUAGCAGAAGAAAUCCUUUCCCAGACUUUUUAUUUUCCGCUGGCCAGAAUUGAAUCUGCUACUGGUUCCCCAGCUGCAAGGAGGAGCACCUGCCAUUUCCAGCCUACAUCAUAGGAGCCAUGCUCUGCUAACAAGUAAAAGGCAGUACGUUGCCAACACACUCACUUUUACAUGUUGGUUGCCAGAACAAGAAAACCUCAUUUGAGGAGCCUCAUCUGACCUGAUUUGGACCACAAGAUGCCACACUAGCCUGAUACCAUAAUUAGAUGAGAUUUGGGGGGUCUUACAUGUGGAAGGAAAGACAGGUCUUGUGACAUUUCUCACCAUUAGUAUGCGGCAGAAGUGAUACUGUACCAAUUCCAGGCCUGGACCACCCUUGCUUUCUCUGAUCACGUCAACCAUGUGAACAUACAUGGGCUACCUGCUGCAUGAUGACAGGUAUGUGGGCCCAGUCACCCUUGUCACUCCAGCCAACAGCCAACCAACACAGAAGCAGAACUGCCUGAUUGAUUUUUUUAGCUGCUUAGAGACACUUGAGUCAGCUAAAUGAGCUAGUUGAGAAAAGUACCCAAUUGCUCCCAGCCAGAACUGCUGACCAAGAAUUGUGAAAUAAAUAAAUGGUUAUUGUUUUAA